rnacentral:ncRNA from 1 species
UGUUCGCCAAAUAGCCAAAUGCCUCGUCCUCUAAGUAGUGACGCGCAUGAAUGGAUGAACGAGAUUCCCACUGUCCCUACCUACUAUCCAGCGAAACCACAGCCAAGGGAACGGGCUUGACGGAAUCAGUGGGGAAAGAAGACCCUGCUGAGAUUGAAUCUAGUCUGGCGCUGUGAAGAGACAUGAGAGGCGUAGAAUAAGUGGGAGGCCGGGCGCGCGCUCGGUGGUGCGGGGCAACCUGCCGUCGGUGAAAUACCACUACUCUGAUUGUUUUUUCACUUACCCGGUGAGGCGGGGGGGGGGGCCCCCGCGGGGGGG